rnacentral:rRNA from 1 species
GACGAACGCUGGCGGCGUGCUUAGCACAUGCAAGUCGAACGGAAAGGCCCUGCUUUUGUGGGGUGCUCGAGUGGCGAACGGGUGAGUAACACGUGAGUAACCUGCCCUUGACUUUGGGAUAACUUCAGGAAACUGGGGCUAAUACCGGAUAGGAGCUCCUGCUGCAUGGUGGGGGUUGGAAAGUUUCGGCGGUUGGGGAUGGACUCGCGGCUUAUCAGCUUGUUGGUGGGGUAGUGGCUUACCAAGGCUUUGACGGGUAGCCGGCCUGAGAGGGUGACCGGCCACAUUGGGACUGAGAUACGGCCCAGACUCCUACGGGAGGCAGCAGUGGGGAAUAUUGCACAAUGGGCGGAAGCCUGAUGCGGCAACGCCGCGUGCGGGAUGACGGCCUUCGGGUUGUAAACCGCUUUCGCCUGUGACGAAGCGUGAGUGACGGUAAUGGGUAAAGAAGCACCGGCUAACUACGUG